rnacentral:lncRNA from 1 species
AUAUAGUUGAGAGCUACGUAGAAAGGAAAGAUGUGGGCUAAGAAAUGCUUUUCUUUCAGAAUGCUCAGCUAAAGCUUCUGGAGGUGAUUGGUAUAGAUCACACUAGCAUUUUGAUGGCUUCAACUAAACCACAGAACUGGAAGGGAAAAAUACAUGCAGAAGGAGACACAACUGGAUUUGUGAUUGCCCCACACUGAUAAAGCAAGGCAGCCUUGAAUCUGGGUUUAGAAUACUCGAUUUGCCGUGAAACAGAGAUUCCCAGUUUAUUUUCUUUGUUCAUCCUGUCAAAGGCUCUUACUUCAUUUAAAACCAUUCUGUCAUUGUCCCCUCCUCCCCUUCCUUCAGUCUUUCCUCUUUUAGGAAGUGCUAGGCUUGGUCUCUGGCUCAGUCAGCAUGGCUUACUGGCACAGUCAGGAAGUCAGAAGAGCUCUGUGGGCUCCCACAGUUUGUUUGCUUAUUCAAUUAACAAUUAUGCAUCUACUGAGUGCUAGACAGGAGGCCACAAGGAUUCGCCAAGACUCUUGGAGUCCAGUGUCUAGAAGGAGCACUCCCCAGUCCGCGGAGAGACCGACAAGGAAGUGAUCAGAUAGCGCAUUCGCCAGCUGCAGAGGAGAGGAUAAAAGCAGACUGAGCGGGGAGGUCAGAAACCGGAGGUGGGAGGAGUGGGUGUCAGGAACACUCUAGGAAGAAAUGGCUCUUAAGCCUUAAUGAGUCUUGAGGAAGAGAGGAGCAGGUCAAGAGCCGCAUUCCUUUCAGCAGAGGAAACAGAAUGGCCAAGCCAUGGACUCUGCACCUGGGGAAGAAGGCGAACGCGGAGGAGAGAAGAGGAAGCUCUUUUUCCCUUCAGGAACCGGAUCUGCCUCUCCUCCAGCCUCACUGACUCUGAAGUGAAAUUACGGUGCUCACCCCCUCAGCCUUCCUCACCACAAAACACCACCUUCCAACAGAAAGAAUCGCUGUCACGGGGUGGAGGAUAAAAAGAGGUGUCUCAGCCAAGGACUUAAAGGGUAGAAGACAAAUUAUUUUGCCUCCUGCACAGUUUGUCAACCUCCAAUGGAACUUUCUGAGACACCAUACUAGAGCCUGCAGAUGGGAUCCUGGAAAACUGGCAGAAGCUGAAGAAAGAAAUGCCUCCUGUUAAAUACCUGAUUUCUCACACAACAUAGGCCUAACUUUGGGAGCCCAGUGUAUCACCACCUCCUGAUGAGAUAUAACUAUUUAACUGAACUGACCUAUUCUCAAGACUGAGAUGGUUCAAUGAGAUCUGGAGCAAUCUAUCAACCUACCUUCUGGACUGUGAAACUUAUUUGGAGUUUCAGUGGCAGAACAGAGAGGGAACAGAAUAUACCACACCGAAGUAUGCCUCUUUGGCAUAAGGAUUAUUUCAGGCUAUUUUUAAGAAAUAGCAGAUACAAAAGAUCUGAAAACCAAGUAGAAGCUACCUUUUUGCAAGAGAUAUUUAUAAGAAAAAUCUCUAUUUGUAAAGGCAUCUCCCUGUCUGUAGAGGAAGAGAAGGAUGACUCUAAAUCUCUAGAAAUUCUCAUCAAUGGGAAAGGCAAUGACUUAAAGCUGCAUAACAAUCUUACCCUUAUUUACUGCGCUUUUCCUGGUAAACUCCCAAAGCUGCUUCCCCACUCCACAACAUCUUCUGUCUUUAGAUGGAGAUGUUUCUUAAGGUGGUGGCUUGGGCUAUUUCAGAGAGUUAUUCAAUUUUCCUGGGUAUCUUCCAUGUAUACAAAAGGUUUACAUGUUAUUAAACUUUCACUUGUUUUUCUGCUUUUACUCUAUCAUUUUAUUACAGUGGUGUUUUAGCCAAGAACCUAGAAGGGCAGAGGGAAAAUUAUUUUUUCUCCCCAUACAUGCUUCCCUUUAUGCUUUCAAUAGAGCUGUAUCUGAGAAGGGAGAGAGUUGCUUUGCAGAAUUACUGCACAUGAGACAGAUUUUGGCACUGUGUUUGCUUCUAGUAAGGUAACUCAAAUUUUUUAUUUUCAAUGUGGUCUCCUGGUCUCUCUACGAUGUUC